CGUAGCGACUCCUACGGGAGGCAGCAGUGGGAAUAUUGCACAAUGGGCGCAAGCCUGAUGCAGCCAUGCCGCGUGUAUGAAGAAGGCCUUCGGGUUGUAAAGUACUUUCAGCAGUGAGGAAGGUGGGUAUGUUAAUAGCAUACUCAUUUGACGUUAGCUGCAGAAGAAGCACCGGCUAACUCCGUGCCAGCAGCCGCGGUAAUACGGAGGGUGCGAGCGUUAAUCGGAAUUACUGGGCGUAAAGCGCAUGCAGGUGGUUUGUUAAGUCAGAUGUGAAAGCCCGGGGCUCAACCUCGGAAUUGCAUUUGAAACUGGCAAACUAGAGUACUGUAGAGGGGGUAGAAUUUCAGGUGUAGCGGUGAAAUGCGUAGAGAUCUGAAGGAAUACCGGUGGCGAAGGCGGCCCCCUGGACAGAUACUGACACUCAGAUGCGAAAGCGUGGGGAGCAAACAGGAUUAGAUACCCUGGUAG
rnacentral:rRNA from 1 species